GAUGAACGCUGGCGGCGUGCUUAACACAUGCAAGUCGAACGAAGUGGCGAACGGGUGAGUAACGCGUAAUCAACCUGCCCUUCAGAGGGGGACAACAGUGGGAAACGACUGCUAAUACCGCAUACUGAAGGAGGGGAUUGCGUGUGAUUAGCUAGUUGGAGGGGUAAGGGCCCACCAAGGCGAUGAUCAGUAGCCUGUCUUAGAGGAUGACCCGCCACAUUUGGACUGUGACCCGGCCCAGACUCCUACGGGAGGCAGCAGUUGGGAAUCUUCCGCAAUGGACGAAAGUCUGACGGCGCAACGCCGCGUGAGUGAUGACGGCCUUCGGGUUGUAAAGCUCUUUUAAUCGGGACGCGGUACCGGAAUAGAAAGCCCCGGCUAACUACGUGCCAGCAGCCGCGGUAAUUC
rnacentral:rRNA from 1 species